GCGGUCCUCAAACUGUGGUACACGAUAGACAACAUGGUGGUACGCAGAAGGCCGCAUGGUAACAGUACAGAAAAUAAAUUAAUCAAUAUUCUUACAAAUAUUUUUUAAUGGAUCUAAUACUUUAUUUUAUAUUCAAGUAUUAUACUGUCUUAUACUCUUAUCGUUUUGAAAUAAAUGUAAAAACAUUAUGAAUUGUUCAAUUUUUAGUUUUACGUGGUACAUGACAGAUCCAUAAUACAUAUGUGUGGUACACAAAAUUAAAAAUUUGAGAACCUCUGCUUUAGGGUUUUUAGAUUUUGAAUUUAAAUAGAGUUUUAAACUCAAAAUGCAUAGAAUUUGUUGUCAGACCAAGUACCUACAUAAUAUGCAUAUUGACCAAUGUACAUAUUUACAUACCUAAUUAAUAGUCAUUUUUUGUACCUUGUUUUCUCUCAUUAAUCUUUGGUAUAUUUUCAUUGAGUCACACAUCUAUAAUUUGUAUUGUUCAUUUAAUUGUGGAAAAUCGAUUAUGAAUCAAUUUAGCUAGUACCAAGCUAAU